rnacentral:rRNA from 1 species
GCUUACGGCCAUACCACCCUGAGCACGCCCAAUCUCGUCUGAUCUCGGAAGCUAAGCAGGGUCUGGCCUGGUUAGUACUUGGAUCGCAGACUGCCUAGGAAUACCAGGUGCUGUAAGCU